GAUGAACGCUGGCGGCGUGCCUAAUACAUGCAAGUCGAGCGAACAGACGAGGAUCUUGCUCCUCUGACGUUAGCGGCGGACGGGUGAGUAACACGUGGAUAACCUACCUAUAAGACUGGGAUAACUUCGGGAAACCGGAGCUAAUACCGGAUAAUAUAUUGAACCGCAUGGUUCAAUAGUGAAAGACGGUUUUGCUGUCCCUUAUAGAUGGAUCCGCGCCGCAUUAGCUAGUUGGUAAGGUAACGGCUUACCAAGGCAACGAUGCGUAGCCGACCUGAGAGGGUGAUCGGCCACACUGGAACUGAGACACGGUCCAGACUCCUACGGGAGGCAGCAGUAGGGAAUCUUCCGCAAUGGGCGAAAGCCUGACGGAGCAACGCCGCGUGAGUGAUGAAGGUCUUCGGAUCGUAAAGCUCUGUUAUUAGGGAAGAACAAAUGUGUAAGUAACUAUGCACGUCUUGACGGUACCUAAUCAGAAAGCCACGGCUAACUACGUG
rnacentral:rRNA from 1 species